GAUUAAGUUAUUAAGGGCGCACGGUGGAUGCCUUGGCACUAGAAGCCGAUGAAGGACGUUACUAACGACGAUAUGCUUUGGGGAGCUGUAAGUAAGCUUUGAUCCAGAGAUUUCCGAAUGGGGAAACCCAGCAUGAGUUAUGUCAUGUUAUCGAUAUGUGAAUACAUAGCAUAUCAGAAGGCACACCCGGAGAACUGAAACAUCUUAGUACCCGGAGGAAGAGAAAGAAAAUUCGAUUCCCUUAGUAGCGGCGAGCGAAACGGGAAGAGCCCAAACCAACAAGCUUGCUUGUUGGGGUUGUAGGACACUCUAUACGGAGUUACAAAGGACGACAUUAGACGAAUCAUCUGGAAAGAUGAAUCAAAGAAGGUAAUAAUCCUGUAGUCGAAAAUGUUAUCUCUCUUGAGUGGAUCCUGAGUACGACGGAGCACGUGAAAUUCCGUCGGAAUCUGGGAGGACCAUCUCCUAAGGCUAAAUACUCUCUAGUGACCGAUAGUGAACCAGUACCGUGAGGGAAAGGUGAAAAGCACCCCGGAAGGGGAGUGAAAUAGAACCUGAAACCGUGUGCUUACAAGUAGUCAGAGCCCGUUAAUGGGUGAUGGCGUGCCUUUUGUAGAAUGAACCGGCGAGUUACGAUUUGAUGCAAGGUUAAGCAGUAAAUGUGGAGCCGUAGCGAAAGCGAGUCUGAAUAGGGCGUUUAGUAUUUGGUCGUAGACCCGAAACCAGGUGAUCUACCCUUGGUCAGGUUGAAGUUCAGGUAACACUGAAUGGAGGACCGAACCGACUUACGUUGAAAAGUGAGCGGAUGAACUGAGGGUAGCGGAGAAAUUCCAAUCGAACCUGGAGAUAGCUGGUUCUCUCCGAAAUAGCUUUAGGGCUAGCCUCAAGUGAUGAUUAUUGGAGGUAGAGCACUGUUUGGACGAGGGGCCCCUCUCGGGUUACCGAAUUCAGACAAACUCCGAAUGCCAAUUAAUUUAACUUGGGAGUCAGAACAUGGGUGAUAAGGUCCGUGUUCGAAAGGGAAACAGCCCAGACCACCAGCUAAGGUCCCAAAAUAUAUGUUAAGUGGAAAAGGAUGUGGCGUUGCCCAGACAACUAGGAUGUUGGCUUAGAAGCAGCCAUCAUUUAAAGAGUGCGUAAUAGCUCACUAGUCGAGUGACACUGCGCCGAAAAUGUACCGGGGCUAAACAUAUUACCGAAGCUGUGGAUUGUCCUUUGGACAAUGGUAGGAGAGCGUUCUAAGGGCGUUGAAGCAUGAUCGUAAGGACAUGUGGAGCGCUUAGAAGUGAGAAUGCCGGUGUGAGUAGCGAAAGACGGGUGAGAAUCCCGUCCACCGAUUGACUAAGGUUUCCAGAGGAAGGCUCGUCCGCUCUGGGUUAGUCGGGUCCUAAGCUGAGGCCGACAGGCGUAGGCGAUGGAUAACAGGUUGAUAUUCCUGUACCACCUAUAAUCGUUUUAAUCGAUGGGGGGACGCAGUAGGAUAGGCGAAGCGUGCGAUUGGAUUGCACGUCUAAGCAGUAAGGCUGAGUAUUAGGCAAAUCCGGUACUCAUUAAGGCUGAGCUGUGAUGGGGAGAAGACAUUGUGUCUUCGAGUCGUUGAUUUCACACUGCCGAGAAAAGCCUCUAGAUAGAAAAUAGGUGCCCGUACCGCAAACCGACACAGGUAGUCAAGAUGAGAAUUCUAAGGUGAGCGAGCGAACUCUCGUUAAGGAACUCGGCAAAAUGACCCCGUAACUUCGGGAGAAGGGGUGCUCUUUAGGGUUAACGCCCAGAAGAGCCGCAGUGAAUAGGCCCAAGCGACUGUUUAUCAAAAACACAGGUCUCUGCUAAACCGUAAGGUGAUGUAUAGGGGCUGACGCCUGCCCGGUGCUGGAAGGUUAAGAGGAGUGGUUAGCUUCUGCGAAGCUACGAAUCGAAGCCCCAGUAAACGGCGGCCGUAACUAUAACGGUCCUAAGGUAGCGAAAUUCCUUGUCGGGUAAGUUCCGACCCGCACGAAAGGCGUAACGAUUUGGGCACUGUCUCAACGAGAGACUCGGUGAAAUCAUAGUACCUGUGAAGAUGCAGGUUACCCGCGACAGGACGGAAAGACCCCGUGGAGCUUUACUGUAGCCUGAUAUUGAAAUUCGGCACAGCUUGUACAGGAUAGGUAGGAGCCUUUGAAACGUGAGCGCUAGCUUACGUGGAGGCGCUGGUGGGAUACUACCCUAGCUGUGUUGGCUUUCUAACCCGCACCACUUAUCGUGGUGGGAGACAGUGUCAGGCGGGCAGUUUGACUGGGGCGGUCGCCUCCUAAAAGGUAACGGAGGCGCUCAAAGGUUCCCUCAGAAUGGUUGGAAAUCAUUCAUAGAGUGUAAAGGCAUAAGGGAGCUUGACUGCGAGACCUACAAGUCGAGCAGGGUCGAAAGACGGACUUAGUGAUCCGGUGGUUCCGCAUGGAAGGGCCAUCGCUCAACGGAUAAAAGCUACCCCGGGGAUAACAGGCUUAUCUCCCCCCAAGAGUUCACAUCGACGGGGAGGUUUGGCACCUCGAUGUCGGCUCAUCGCAUCCUGGGGCUGUAGUCGGUCCCAAGGGUUGGGCUGUUCGCCCAUUAAAGCGGUACGCGAGCUGGGUUCAGAACGUCGUGAGACAGUUCGGUCCCUAUCCGUCGUGGGCGUAGGAAAUUUGAGAGGAGCUGUCCUUAGUACGAGAGGACCGGGAUGGACAUACCUCUGGUGUACCAGUUGUCGUGCCAACGGCAUAGCUGGGUAGCUAUGUGUGGACGGGAUAAGUGCUGAAAGCAUCUAAGCAUGAAGCCCCCCUCAAGAUGAGAUUUCCCAACUUCGGUUAUAAGAUCCCUCAAAGAUGAUGAGGUUAAUAGGUUCGAGGUGGAAGCAUGGUGACAUGUGGAGCUGACGAAUACUAAUCGAUCGAAGACUUAAUCAA
rnacentral:rRNA from 1 species